GACGAACGCUGGCGGCGUGCUUAACACAUGCAAGUCGAACGGAAAGGCCCUGCUUUUGUGGGGUGCUCGAGUGGCGAACGGGUGAGUAACACGUGAGUAACCUGCCCUUGACUUUGGGAUAACUUCAGGAAACUGGGGCUAAUACCGGAUAGGAGCUCCUGCUGCAUGGUGGGGGUUGGAAAGUUUCGGCGGUUGGGGAUGGACUCGCGGCUUAUCAGCUUGUUGGUGGGGUAGUGGCUUACCAAGGCUUUGACGGGUAGCCGGCCUGAGAGGGUGACCGGCCACAUUGGGACUGCGGUACGGCCCAGACUCCUACGGGAGGCAGCAGUGGGGAAUAUUGCACAAUGGGCCGAAGCCUGAUGCAGCAACGCCGCGUGCGGGAUGCCGGCCUUCGGGUUGUAAACCGCUUUCGCCUGUGACGAAGCGUGCGUGACGGUAAUGGGUAAAGAAGCACCGGCUAACUACGUG
rnacentral:rRNA from 1 species